rnacentral:rRNA from 1 species
GUUAUAAUAUUUUAUUGUUGAGGUAGUUAUAUUGGAAGUAAUUUUUAUGUUGUUGUAUUUUAAAGAUUUAAUUUUGUUGAUGAUAAUUUACUUGUACUGUUAAGGGUUUAUUAGGGUUGUUAUUUUAUAAGUUUAUUUAGUUUGUUGUACCUUGUGUAUCAGGGUUUAUUAAAAUAGGGAAAUGUAAAAUUUUAUUCUCGGUGUUUAAGGAGUUAAUUAAUUAAUAUAAUUAUUGUUGUAUAAUUAUUGUCGAUAUUUAAUUAGUAGUGAAAUGUUAUUCGGCUUGAAGGGUAUCUAGUUUUUUUGGAAAUAAAUUUAAUUUAUAUUUUGGUUUUAAUUAGUUUAGUGGUGAAGUAAUUUAAGCUAGGAUGAAUAUUUGAGGGGAUUAGCUCUUAAAUAAAUUUAUAUAAUUUGUAUUUUUAUUUGUGAUAAUGUGGAUUUAAUGUUAUUUAUCAUUUUGAGGAUGUGAAAAUUUUAAUUUUGGGUUUAUAUUGUGAUUUUUUUUUGUUUAUUUUAUUUACUUAAAUGAAUGUUUGAAUUUUUUAAUUUAAUUAUUAAAAUAAUGGUAAAAUUAGUAAAUUAUGGUUUAUGGAAUUAAUUAGAGUGAUAAUUUUAUUUAAGGAAUUCGGCAAAAUAUGUAUUCGCUUGUUUAUCAAAAACAUCUUUUUUUGGAUUAGAUUUAAAAUAUGGCCUGCCCACUGAUAAUUUGAAGGGCCGCGGUAAUUUGACCGUGCAAAGGUAGCAUAAUCAUUAGUUUUUUAAUUGGGGGCUGGAAUGAAUGGUAGGACGAAAUACAGUCUGUCUUUGGUUUAAUUGAUAAUUGAAUUUAAAUAUUAAGUAAGAAUGCUUGAAUUGUUUUAUGGGACGAGAAGACCCUAUAGAGUUUUAUAUGGUGGUUUUGUUUGGUAUUUGUUAGUAAAAAUUAUAUUAUUAUAUUUGGUUGGGGUGAUUUUAAAAUAUAGGUAUCUUUUAAUGCUUUGGUGUACAUUGAUUUAUGGUAAAUUGAUCCAUUAAUGGUGAUUAUAAGUUGAAAUUACCUUAGGGAUAACAGCGUGAUUUUUUUUGAGAGUUCUUAUUGACAGGGAAGAUUGCGACCUCGAUGUUGAAUUAAGAUAAAUAUUGGGUGUAGAAGUUUAAUUAUAAUAUUAGGUCUGUUCGACCUUUAAAAUCUUACAUGAUUUGAGUUCAAACCGGCGUGAGCCAGGUUGGUUUCUAUCUAUAAUAAAUUUAAAGUUUUUUAGUACGAGAGGACCAGAAAUUUAUAAUAAUUUUUGUUGUUGGUAUAUUAUUAAUAU